rnacentral:tRNA from 1 species
AAGAGAGUGUCAGAGUGGUUAUGUGGUUGGCUUGAAACCAAUUUAUGGAGGUUCGAUUCCUUCCUUUCUCG